rnacentral:rRNA from 1 species
UACGGGGGGGGCAAGCGUUGUUCGGAAUUACUGGGCGUAAAGGGCUCGUAGGCGGCCAACUAAGUCAGACGUGAAAUCCCUAGGCUCAACCUAGGAACUGCGUCUGAUACUGGAUGGCUUGGAUUCGGGAGAGGGAUGCGGAAUUCCAGGUGUAGCGGUGAAAUGCGUAGAUAUCUGGAGGAACACCGGUGGCGAAGGCGGCAUCCUGGACCGAUAUUGACGCUGAGGAGCGAAAGCCAGGGGAGCAAACGGG